CAUAAGGUGAUCUAGGGUUCCGAUGCUGUUUACUAACAGGAUGGCUGGUCCGAGAGAUUACGGUUCGUAAGAACUACACGGAGGGAUAAAAGCCCAGGAGGU
rnacentral:sRNA from 17 species